UGGGGAAUAUUGCACAAUGGACGAAAGUCUGAUGCAGCAACGCCGCGUGGAGGAUGACACAUUUCGGUGCGUAAACUCCUUUUAUAUAAGAAGAUAAUGACGGUAUUAUAUGAAUAAGCACCGGCUAACUCCGUGCCAGCAGCCGCGGUAAUA
rnacentral:rRNA from 1 species